ACACAGCUCCUCUUCUGCUCUCCGGUAAAUUUGUCCCUCUCCCCUUUCUCUCUUAGCGUGUACAAGAUAGCAAGCACUGAAAUUCUCCAUUCGUUUUAUUUACUUAUUUAUUUUUCAUUUAUACUGAGCGUAUGGAUGAUGAUUCGUUUCAUAAAUCUAGGGAUUUGCUCCGUUUCUUUCUUUAUCAUCUUGUUUCAAUAAUAGCGUUUGAAAUUUACAUUGAACUGUUUGAUGCAAAUCUAGAUCUAUUAGUUUAACUGAAGGAGGUUUUUCAAUUAGGUUCGCUGAUUAUGAUCAGAAAAAAGAAAACUUUUGUUGGAUUGUGGAUAAUGCUUUUACUGUCUCCAUAUCAACAUUCUUCCUGGCUCUCACUUUUGUUGAAGUUGUUGCUCAAAUACUGUGUGAUUCACUUUGCUUUUGUGGGAUUCGGAAUUUUGUGUUAUGGGAUGUUUGGUUCGGGGCAGAGUGUUUGUGGCAAUGUUGGUUUUAGUUCUGUUUUUGGGUUAUAAUAUUUUUUGAGAAUAUGAUUUGAAACUUAUUAUCUUUUUGUGUGCAAUAUAUCUUUAUUCUUGUUGCCUAUUUGAAUUAUUAGUAUUACUAUUAUUUUUUAUGUAGAAGCAGCGUUACAGAUUGUAAGUUUGAUUUAACUUUCUUGAUGUCACUUAGAUCAAUAGAAGCUAAGCUAACAUAAAAAAUAUGAGUGCAUUUUUUUAUUUGUUUACCGCUAAUGAAAAUCUCACUUGUUUCAACUAUUAUUGUUAUUUUUCCUGCAUAUGUCCUUGUGUUAGUUGAAAUGCAAAUAGCAUACUCUUUUCCGCUUGCUUUUACAUUUUUUUAAAUGUUAAUUUGAUAUUUGUUAACAAUUUCAGUAGUUUGCAUUUGGAAGAAUGGU
rnacentral:misc_RNA from 1 species